GUGUUUCUGUUGAGAGUGAGUGGCAGUGUCUACAGAGCAGUCUAAAGGCCAUAUUUAUGCAUAUUGUCUGUAUCUCUACCACCUCCAUCUCUUGGCUGGAAAGCACACGGUCAACUCCCUAGGUGAAGAGCAUCCCGAAAGUGGGGCAAGCUCGUGUCCACUUCAGAGAGCCUGUUGUUUCUGAGCUGAGUCGUGGGCCAUGGACGUAUUCUCAAGGUGAAAACCGAAGUAUAGAGGGCUGCAGGACCAGACCUCUUCAUGCCUCAGAGGAGCUGUGUAAUGGGAUGCUGCAUGU